rnacentral:rRNA from 1 species
UAAUACGUAGGGUGCGAGCGUUAAUCGGAAUUACUGGGCGUAAAGGGUGCGCAGGCGGUUAUGUAAGUCAGAUGUGAAAUCCCCGGGCUUAACCUGGGAAUUGCGUUUGAAACUACAUGACUAGAGUGUAACAGAGGGAAGUGGAAUUCCAUGUGUAGCAGUGAAAUGCGUAGAGAUAUGGAGGAACAUCGAUGGCGAAGGCAGCUUCCUGGGUUAACACUGACGCUCAUGCACGAAAGCGUGGGGAGCAAACAGGAUUAGAUACCCUGGUAGUCCACGCCCUAAACUAUGUCAACUAGUUGUCGGAUCUUAACAGAUUUGGUAACGUAGCUAACGCGUGAAGUUGACCGCCUGGGGAGUACGGUCGCAAGAUUAAAACUUAAAUGAAUUGACGG